UGCCGGCAACUUGAUCUUGGACUUCCCAGCCUCCAGGAUUGAAGAAAAAUAUGUUGCAAACAUGGAGGAAAGAUGAUGGCCUCCUUCAACAGAACUAUGAGUUGUCCAAGAUUUCACAAAGUUCUUCAAGCAUGGCAUUUGAUGAUGAGCCCUAAGAUGACUUGAGCCUCACGUCAACUCUCUUUGCUACACGCCCCUCUUUGGAGACCACCACUUCAUGCAAUGGGGAGUGACAUUAGGGCUGAACUUUAAGAAAGAGAACUCUGACAGUAAUGAGAAGACAGAAAAAGAGAAUGACCAGAUAUCCAAAAUGGGAUCGUAGCAUCGAACAUGAGAAGGCCAUGCAUAAGAUGGGGUAGGUCCAAUCAACAAAAUUUGAAAAAAGGUCAGCUUUGGAGUGGUCUGAAAAGGGAGACAAAGGAGGAGACAGAAUUCUGGAUGAUUUCACGGUAACAAUCCUGAGUGACUUGGAGGAUAUAAUAGUAUUAACUAAAAAGGAAAAUGCACAAGACAGCAAUUUGAGGGAAGGACAUUUAGAUGAAGAGAUCCUUGAGAAAUACAUGCAUUUAAAAGACAAGUGGGAGAGAAACUAAUGAAGGAGCUGAAAAUGGCCAAUGACACUGGAAAAGAACGACGACAGUAAAGUGUCCUAGUAGCCAAGGGAAGAGAGAAAGCACUUUUUAAAGGAUGAGAUGAUCACUUGUGUCAACUUCUGUCAAUAAUUAAAGGAGACAAGGGACAAGAUGACAUCCGUGGAUAUGGCAAAUAGCCAAUAAUAAUGAAAGCUAGCAUCACAUCUGCUGCAUGCUUGUCACAUGCCAGGCACACCACUUCAAGAGUUGUACAAGUAAGAACCCAUUUCAUCCCCAAGAACCCUAGGACGUAAGUGUGACUAGCAUCCCCAUUUUGGUGCUCAGCCUCUCGAGUAGCUGGGCUUACAGGCAUGCGCCACCAGGCCCAGCUAAUUUUUGUAUUUUUAGUAGAGACGGGGUUUCACCAUGUUGGCCAGGCUGAUCUCGAACUCCUGACCUCAGGUGAUCCACCUGCCUUGGCCUCCCUUGUACAAGUAAGAACCCACUUCAUCCCCAAGAUGAACGUUAAGUGUGACUAGCAUCCCCAUUUUGGUUCAUCCCCAAUUUCAUUUCAUCCCCAAGAACCAUAGGACAUAAGUGUGACUAGCAUCCCCAUUUUGGUAACCAACAAGAAAAUUAAAUCCAUAAUAAGGAAGAGGCAGAACCCAAAGUGGAUGGGGCUGAGGACAAAUGAAAGGUGAGAAAGAAUAAUCUGCCUAUAAAUGAACAGAGGUAUAAGAAAACAGAACAGCAGCUGCAGGUAAAAAUGGUUUUGUUUGUUUGUUUGUUUUGUGUUUUUUUGGUUGUUGUUGUUUUUUUUUUUUUUU
rnacentral:lncRNA from 1 species